rnacentral:ribozyme from 1 species
AUCCAGCUGCUUCGUUUGGUCCGAAACAAGUUCGCUGGAGUGACAAAGAUGAUGCUGCACGUGGAAGCCCGCUCGUGAAAGUCACUCGUGAUCCGGUAUCGAU